CCUACGGGAGGCAGCAGUGGGGAAUAUUGGGCAAUGGGCGCAAGCCUGACCCAGCAACGCCGCGUGAAGGAAGAAGGCUUUCGGGUUGUAAACUUCUUUUCUCAGGGACGAAGAAAGUGACGGUACCUGAGGAAUAAGCCACGGCUAACUAGGUGCCAGCAGCCGCGGUAAUACGUAGGUGGCAAGCGUUAUCCGGAUUUACUGGGUGUAAAGGGCGUGUAGGCGGGAAAGCAAGUCAGAUGUGAAAACCAGGGGCUCAACCUGUGGCCUGCUUUUGAAACUGUUUUUCUUGAGUACUGGGGAGGCAGAGGGAAGUCCUGGUGUAGCGGUGAAAUGGGUAGAUAUUAGGAGGAACACCAGUGGCGAGGGAGGUCUGCUGGACAGAAACUGACGCUGAGGAGCGAAAGCGUGGGAGCAAACAGGAUUAGAUACCCCAGUAGUC
rnacentral:rRNA from 1 species